AUUCAUUCGUUCUAGAAUCUAGACUGAGAAAGAGAGAGUUUUGGCGGGUUGUGUGACGUGUCCUUUUAUUUGUUAUGCGUAGGCUGUUUUUUUUUUUUUUUUUUGAAGGACGUGUUAUUUUAAUUUCUCUCUUAUAUUUUCCUAUGAAUUUCUUCUGAGGAUAUGUGAGAUUUGUGAGGACUGAUUACUCUCUUAUAUUUCUUCAAUCAAGUGUGAGGACUGAUUACAUUUUUCUUUCAAACUCGAUUCAACGAAGCUAGGAGGAUAUGUGAGAUUUGGCCGUUGGAUUAAGCUAUUUAGCGCGUUUUGGCUGGUGGGUGUCUCUGGUUUUUGCUUCUUGGUCAUUUUGAUCUUCGUUACCAUAGAUUCUUACACUUUGGUGUACCUGUGUUUUGCUUUUGAAUAUUUUGAUUCCGAAACCGACUCUUUAUUCUUUCCUUUAAAUUUUGUACUAUAUUCCCACUUGAAUUAGCUAAUCAAGUUGUGCAAAUAAUAAGUUCUUCAAAAAAUAUUUGGGGGGCCGUGCAGAUGUACCUAAGAUUGCUGGCCUGUUCAUUUGUUAGUCUGUUUCAUUUUUGUCCUAAUUCAAAGGGAUUCUGGUGCUAAAAAUUAGGGUUUUCUUAUCUAUAUUUAUAGUAGUUAAUUACCUGUCAUAUCUUGUCGAGUUUGACCAUUAGGGUUUUCGGGUUGAAGCCAUUAUAUGUUUUUUCAUUGUUGUUGGUUUGCUGCGAAUACCAAAUUAUCGUGUUGAUUCCAUAGCAGGUUUUGUGUGCCAAUUUGAGUUUGAUUCGAGAAGUUGCUUUGAUGACACCUCUGUUUUAAUCAGCAUUAAGGGGUUUCAGUGAAGAUUGAGCUCCUUCAACGAUGAAUGGUCAUUGUGAUUCACAAAACAAUGGCGAAGUGGAUGACCACGGCCUUCAGGUUACUAGAUACUCUGCAUAUCAGCCCUGUAAUAAAUUAUCACCUCCUUGGUUUGAAUUGAGAGUCUUCUAUGUGAGGGUCAGUAAUUUUAAGGUUGACGAUUCGAGCCCGGAGUUUCUAACUCUUAACCAUAUUCCUCUGAGCCCUGAUUCCCUUUUGGAAGUUAAUGGCUCUAGAACAAGCAUUUACUCUGAUGGGGUUUCAUCCCUUCUUAGAAGGGAUAGGGCGGAUAGAAAAUCAGAAGAAGCUACAUUUGUGAGCACAGACAGUAUAAGGUUAACGGGGAGUUUGAAAUUUGAGGUGUUUGACAAAGAAGAUCUCAUUCUCUCUGGGGUUCUUGAGAUGUCUAACUGUAAUGGUUGUACUGGGGAAUCAAAACACAGUGCCAAGCGUUGGAGCAUGAAUUGCAAUUCGGAUAUUACUGCUGCUGCUGGCUUCUUGAGGGGAAAACAUCUUGCUGGCUGUGAUUUGCCCGCGCCAACAAUCGAGGUCUACGUUGCAGGCUGCUUCUCUGGAACCCCAAUUAUCUUAACCAAGACUUUGCAGCUUUGUUUUCGUAAGAAACAUGUUAGGAAAGGCAUGUUAGAUGCAAUUCCGGAGAAUGAGGCGACUGAAUGCCAGAAAGGUGAAGCUUCUGGGCUUGAUCUGCAGAUUACAGUUUAUAUUUUGCUUGGCUGAGAUAGAUUUCACUACAGAUUGGUUAUCUAGUCUUAGUAUCAUAAACAAAUUAAAAGACCUUAUCGGCGUUUUGGAUGUAAAUAUGUCGACUGUCGAGGGUAUGGGCAAUGCACGGGUUUCAAGUUUUGGGAGAGUUCUCAUUUACCCUUUUUGGUUUGAGUUGGGUUGUUUUCAAAGCCAUUGCUUUGCCAGAUACAGAUAUGGCGUGGGCUCAUCAGUGUCAUUAUGGGGCCCACAUUCAACCUGACUGUUAGCGGCAUAUCGAAACUACAAACCAGAAAAUGAGGAAUACAAUGAUAUGUACUGGAGAAGAACAGAAUAUAUGGACAGUGAAGAUGGUGAGCUCUCAUGGUUUAACGCGGGAGUUAGAGUUGGAGUUGGAAUUGGACUCGGCAUAUGUCUUGGAGUUGGUAUAGGAGUUGGUUUGUUGGUCCGUACUUACCAAUCAACAAC